CAAUCUAUGUAUAUUUUAUUAUAUCAGAAAUGUUAGAACGCUCUAAACCAAACGUAAUUGACUAAGAUAUCCACUUUUCACACAAUCUGCGGAUUUUAAUUAACAUACCUAUAAAACGUGUAAAGUAACGUUGCAAAGUAACAUAUAUAUAUUUACUGUCGAUAUUUUACGACCAAAUAAAUCUGGAACCUAUGCUGUCCACGAACUUUUAUUGGGUUGGUGUCUUUAGAAGAGAACUAACGAAGUUCGUAAUUGUACAAUUAUACGAGUUAGUUGUUCCUGAUCCUCAAUUACGACAAAGCUUAACGGGUCGUCGACUGUUCCCCUGCCGACGUCAGCCUACGUUAUUAUCAAUUAUCGUCUGAAAAUAAGCUGAACCGCCGUACGCUGGAUUGUAACACAUACAGGUUUUGUUUAUGCUGAUAAAAUACCAGUGAUAACCGUAAUGUGUUGCGACGUUCGCAGUCUGCAUAAUACUCUGUAAUAUUCAACAUACAGCUGAGCAAUUACAAAACUUUUGUAUUUAGAAUUUACUUCCAAUAAAUUCUCAUUCGUUUCCCAAAAAUAUUACAAUAGUUUUCGAAAUUGAAUUUUAGAUUAAUUUACGAUUAUAUUAAAUUGAACUUAUUGAUUGUAACUAUAAGUCAAAAUAG
rnacentral:misc_RNA from 1 species